CAGAUCUUUUCAUCAACCUUCUCUCUCUCUGGCGACUCAAGCACAUGCCAACGAUUAGGGUUUUGGUAAGAACCGCCACCAUCAUGACUCUGGCAGUGGCUGCUUGUGGUGUUUGAUGUGUAAAUUGUUGAUUUGAACUUAACGGCGGAGGAAAUGUGAAAAAUUAGGGUUCCGCUAGAACCUCAGGCGACGACGACAUAAGCAACAACAAGCAAUUGACUCCGAUGAUGAAGAAUACCAAGACAAUACGUCCACAAACAACCCCUGUCUGGUGAGAUUCGGCCUUUUAAAAUGUCUUCUCAAGGUUUUGGAGCAAUUGAGUGGCCAGUCCCCUGUUUUUUCCAAGGGU